GAACCUACGGAAGGAUGAUCG
rnacentral:rRNA from 1 species